AUUGAACGCUGGCGGCAUGCUUUACACAUGCAAGUCGAACGGUAACAGGUUAAGCUGACGAGUGGCGAACGGGUGAGUAAUGCAUCGGAACGUGCCCGGUCGUGGGGGAUAACGCAGCGAAAGCUGCGCUAAUACCGCAUACGAUCUGAGGAUGAAAGCGGGGGACCGUAAGGCCUCGCGCGAUCGGAGCGGCCGAUGUCAGAUUAGGUAGUUGGUGGGGUAAAGGCUCACCAAGCCAACGAUCUGUAGCUGGUCUGAGAGGACGACCAGCCACACUGGGACUGAGACACGGCCCAGACUCCUAUGGGAGGCAGCAGUGGGGAAUUUUGGACAAUGGGCGAAAGCCUGAUCCAGCAAUGCCGCGUGCAGGAAGAAGGCCUUCGGGUUGUAAACUGCUUUUGUACGGAGCGAAAAGGUCUCCUCUAAUACAGGGGGCUCAUGUCGGUACCGUAAGAAUAAGCACCGGCUAACUACGUGCCAGCCGCCGCGGUAA
rnacentral:rRNA from 1 species